CGCCGCCUCCUCCGUCCACUCCGGCGGCCGCAUCGCCUUCCGCUUCCGUGUUCAUCUCCCAGCUCCCCACUCCCGCACAGGACAGGAAGCAGCCAUUCUCGUGUUCAUCUCCCAGCUCCCCACUCCCGCGCAGCACGGAAGCUCGCAAACCCUAGCGAAUCUCCCGUUCCGCGGUUACUCGGCGCGCGCCGGAGCCCGGAAUUGAACAGCAAUUAAUCUCUGGAAGCUUACGAACCGGCGGCUGGUGGCCGGUGUAGCGCAUAUGUUUAGACAAUCUACGAAUCGGAGGCAAUACCUUCCCACUCGCAGCAGGCCGUGCUGUUGUCAUGCCACGACAUGGCGAGGCCGCCAUCUCACGACAGCCCAGAAAGGAAACGGAGGAGGUUGCGCUUCUCCUGCUCAGUGCAUGCGGUGGCGGGAGAGGCCAAGAAGAGCAGCAGGAACAGCUGCAGCAUGACCGAAGGAACAGUGAAUGAAUGCAUUGGUUGCUAUUGGUUGAAGAAUGCAUGCAGUGGUGGUAGUUAUCAUCUAGUAAUGGAUUUUUUUGCACAUCAGACCUACUGAACACUACUCAUAAGAUUCCCUAUAUGUCCUGGGUGCACCUUAGGGCCCUGGGCCACGGUUGGUCCAUACGGAAAAGACAACGACACUAGCAUAGGAAAGCAACAUCUGUGCCUAUCAAUUAGCUGUAGUAAAAGGCUAUAAACUAGUUUAUAAAUCUAUCAUUUAGUUAUGGAUGGAUUAAAUAGUUACCGAUUAGUCCAAAAUUUUCAAGUAGCAAGAAGCCAAUCUAUCAUCUCGCUGCCCCAAGGUUCAUGUUUAAGUGUAAUAUAGUUGAAGAACAUAUUGGAAGGUUAAUUACUAGUUUGCUCAUCUUUCCCGGCCUAUUCAUGGCACUGCUGCUCAAUAAUACAUAGAUAUAGGUGGUGGUCUUUGGUUACAGACUUACAGCACUAGUUUUGUUUACCUCAAGUGACAGGCUGGCAUUUGGUAGGCAGGCCCAAAGGGGGUACCAACCUACUAAUGGUUGUGUUUUUCCCAUGGUUCAUGUCUAUGGUGGAUAUUCUGCUCAUAAUUAUUAUGUGGGGUCAUUUCCCACUAGCUCUUUGACUCUUUGUAGCUGAUGAAUACAUAUCCAUGAUUUCAGUUUGAAAAAUUGCUUAAUGGUUCUGUUUUCUGACUUUUUGUAGCUAAUGAAUAAAUAUCCAUGAUUUCAGCUCGGAAAACUGCUUCAUGGUUGUGUUUUUCUCAUGCUUCCUGUCAGUUCCUCAGAAAUCAUAUUAAUGUCAUUUCCUUUGGGAGAAGUCCUGGAACAAAAGCAGAAUUAAAGGUAAUUCUUUUCUGGCGACCACUUUGGCCUCAAAUGCAGUCUGCAGAAGAAUAUUGUUGCCAUGUUUCUCCAUGUUGAUUUCUGAACAUAGACGGUUUUGUUGCCAAAGCUUCUCCUCUUCAUAUUUAUGUUUGAUUAUACUCCCUCCGUCCCAAAAUUCUUGUCUUAGAUUUGUCUAGAUACGGAUGUAUCUAACACUAAAAUGUAACUAGAUACAUCCGUAUUUAGACAAAUCUAAGACAACAAAUUUGGGACGGAGGGAGUACAUGCAUGUGCCAACACAAAUUCUUCUUGACAAAUGGCACUUUGUCUGUUAUAUUUCACAUUGCCGUGUCUUUCCCAUGGAUAUGAACUCUUCGCUUUUUUUUACCAUGGAACUGAAGUAUUUUUUUCCUGCUUGCGGGGUCGCCAUCCUAUUUUUGCGUGCCUUUUAAUGUGCAAACUAUGUAAACAGUUCCUCUUUUAAAACUAGCGUAGGUCAGAAGGUCUGUUUAGUUUGUGCCUUCGUCCUAUCAAAAGUUUGCUAGCCAGAAUUUCGGUUGAGGUUUUACUUGCCAACCGAUUGGCCAACAUUGACUAGAGAAUGCAAUAGAGCUGGUUCCCAUCCAACAAAGACCAACGUGUUGAUCAUGGCAAAAAAAUAAAAAAAUCUAGUGUACACUUUGGUCGUAACCCAAUGUUCCAAACAUACCUUAAAACUAGCUAGAACACACCAUUUAGUUUUUAAAGUUGUUUAAUCUACCCUUCUUGACCUAAACAGGGUGGUUUUUGAUGGUGCGCUAUAGCUGGGGUAGCAAGCCGGAUGAUGGGCCGACCUCGAGGGCUAGCGGGUUGCGAGGGUUAUGCAGGCCUCCGAUCGACACGGGGAGCCCUCCUGAGGAAAGUCUGGUGUCUUGGCACAUAAUCAAAGGAUUCUACCAAGGAGCCCCCUAGGUUGGUUUAGGACUCGUGUAACUCUAGGCGUCGUCCUCCUUUAUAAGGCAAAACCAGGGGAUAGCUCAGGCAUCGACAUCGUUAUCAUUGUCUCAGUAUGUACAAACACCCUAUACUUGUAACCCCCUCAUGUGAGCAUUUUCCACCAUCGAUUAAAUUAAAGCACGAGUAGGAUGUUACAUCACGGGUUCAAGUCCUGGAAACAACCUCUUACAGAAAUGUAGGGAAAGGCUGCGUACUAUAGACCCAAAGUGGUCGGACCCUUCCCCGACCCUGCGCAAGCGGGAGCUACAUGCACCGGGCUGCCCUUUUUUUUAGGAUGUUACCUCAACAAUGAGGGCCUGAACCUGGGUAAACUCCUCGUGUGCGAUCCCCUCUGGUAGUCUGGUACUUCCAGCCACACUCUCCACCCUAUCAGGGUUACUGAUUGUUUCUUGGUAUCGUUAGUUGGCACGCCAGGUAGGGGCUGCAUCGUCCAGAGACCGAAUGCAGAUUAGAUCUCUGCUCAUGCCUGGAAUUUUCAUGCCGAAACUGGCGACAAAAGAACAGAAUCCACAGCCUCCUGGUGGAUGAGGUCUCGAUCUCUGACCCUGCGGCAUGGCGGCCGCGGCCUACACGCACUGUGAUACCCUGCUUGGCUAUGAGACGCUUCGUGAGUGUGGCCUCGACUUCCCACGCUAA